rnacentral:lncRNA from 1 species
AGGUAUUGAACAAGGAGGAUAGUGAUGCCAGUGACAAGGACAGGAAGGUUGAAUUGCCCUAGGUGGCUGGUAAUUUGUUGCCAAGACUAGUGAUCACGCGGGAGCCGACUCUAAAUAAUACACUUAUGCAGUUAAACAUCGAUUCCUUCGAUGAAAAUGAAAGGAGUGCUAGGAAGGCAAGAAGAAAAGGAACUACGGGCUCGAUUUCAAUCUGACAGGCAGCUUCGAUCCAUAAUUUCUAUCAACAACUCAUUCCAGGUAUUGCGUUAUGAUUAAUACACUGAUAUGAAAUAUUAGAGGGGUGUCUAAAGCGCCCAAUUUAAGAAGAUUGAUAAAAAUUAUACGAUUGCAUGGUGUUCAAUUUUUAGCAAUUUCUGAACCAAAAAUAGAUGUAUCUCGAGUUCAGUAUAUUCGCAUGAGAUUAUCAUUUGAUUAUGCAAUUGUUAACAUAUCGGAGGAUCUUUGGAUAUUCUAUAGUGCUCCAUUUAAUUGUUCGUUAGUUGGUAACUCUAUUCAGCAUAUUUCACUGUCUAUCCAACAUCCGUGGUUACCGGGGCCCAUGAUUUUUUCAUUUGUUCAUGCUAUGUGUUCGGUGGAGGGACAUUGCGAUUUAUGGCAGAAUUUAUUAUCUGAUAAACCUCGUUCCUUGCCUUGGUGUAUUGGAGGAGAUUUUAACGUCAUUGUAGAUGCCCACGAAAAACGAGGUGGGAGACCAUUUUCUAUGUCAGAAGGGUUUGAGUUUUUGACAUUCAUGGAAGAGGCCGAGAUAUUUGAUGCUGGUUUUUCAGGAUCGAGUUUUACAUGGUGCAAUAAUAGGAGGGGAAGGGCUAGAAUUUGAAAGAGGCUAGAUAGAAUCUUAAUUAAUGGAGAAUGUUCAGAUUUGGCCUCGGUUAUUUCAGUAGUUCAUUUAGCAAGACACCCGUCUGAUCAUGCCCCGAUGAAAAUUUCUUUUAAUUCAAGGCUGGACAAUGGGCCACGACCAUUCAAGUUCUUGAAUGUUUGGACGUCCAAGCCAUGUCUAUUAGAUGUCAUUAGGGAUUCCUGGACCAUAGAGAUACAAGGAUCACCCUUACGAGUUUUGUGCUCUAAGUUGUUGGCAACCCGGAGAGCGAUUCAACAAUGGAAUAAGCAGCAUUUUGGAAAUGUUUUUAAUGCUAUUAGGGAGGCUGAAGCUGCUCUUUUGAGGGCAGAGGAAGACGUGGAACAUUACGAAUCCGAGGAUGUUCACGAAGAGCUUUACAAAGCACAAGCAGAGCUUAAUAGAGCAUUGGCAAUAGAAGAACAAUUCUGGAGGCAGAAAGUUAGUGUAAAAUGGCUUAAUAAUGGGGAUCAGAAUACAAAGUAUUUUCAUGCAGUAGUCAAGCAAAGGCGAGUACAAGGGGCAAUACAUAGGGCGAAAAAUUCAAAUGGGACGUGGGUGAAGAAGGAUGAUGACAUAGCAAACGAGGCAAUUGAGUAUUUUUCUGGUCUUUUUUCGGGAUCUAUGGAUUCCAGUCCAGGGGAGCUGGUGCACUUAAUACCGACAAUGGUCACAGGAGAGGAAAAUACACGGUUGGAAGAAGUUCCAGAUAUGGAGGAUGUUCGGCGUAUGGUGUUCACCAUGGAUGGGGAGAGUGCUACUGGUCCGGACGGUUUUACGGGUAAAUUCUUUACCUUUGCUUGGGAUAUCAUUGCUCAAGACAUGCAUAGAGCGGUUAUGAGUUUUUUCUGUGGAAGUGAUCUGCCUAGAUUCAUUACUUCCACUUCAAUUGUUUUGAUACCUAAAAUUCCCAAUCCCCAGGAUUUCUCUAAAUUCAGACCAAUUAGUCUUUGUAAUUUUUUUAACAAAUUAUUAUCCAGAAUUUUGGUGGAACGUAUGGCCUCGAUUUUGCCAAGAAUUAUUUCCCCCUAACAAACAGGAUUUGUCAAAGGCUGAAAUAUUACGGAUAAUUAUUUGUUAGCUCAGGAGUUUUUUUCAGAUAUAGGCAAGAAGGCAAGAGGACGGAAUGUAACUUUAAAGCUAGAUAUGACUAAGGCAUAUGACCGGAUGUCAUGGAGGCAUAUUAUUACCAUGUUGCGCAAAUUUGGGUUUGGAGAACGAUUUAUAGAAAUGGUCUGGAGGCUUAUCUCUAAUGUUUGGUUUUCAAUUAUCAUUAAUGGAACAUCACACGGCUACUUCAAAUCUUACCGGGGGCUACGUCAAGGAGAGCCAUUAUCCCCAGUGCUAUUUAUUAUCGGAUCAGAAUUGCUCUCGCGAGAACUAAAUAAUCUACCAAUGUAGCACAAUUUUGUAGGGUUUAGAGUCCCAACGGGCUAUCCUGUCGUCACGCAUCUAGCAUUUGCUGAUGACGUGCUAAUUUUUACUAAUGGGUCUACUGCUGCUUUAAAGAGAAUUGUGCAGGUGCUCGAUGCUUACCAACAAUCCUCAGGACAACUAGUAAAUACACAAAAGAGUGGCUACUUGGUCCAUAAGGCCCUACAUGUGAUACCCCGACUUCUUUAAACCCUAAAUUCUAAUCAAAAGAAAAAAAAAAUCUAGUUUACUUGUGACUAACCGAUUUUCUUAAAUUUCUCAUUUUUAAUCGAAACCCUAAUUGUAAUCAAUGGAAUUGUAAAAUCCCGCACAUUUUUCUUAAAAUUCCUUUUAUUUGGAAAUUAUUACUUUCUAAUGGCCCUACUACUCAAUCACCCCACAACAAGUGCAAAUGAACCUAGAAAGUAGGGUUUCACUUUUCGUUUUCAAGUUAGAGCGAAUUAGGGUUUUCACGUUUUUCCGUAGUAUCACUAUUCGGUACGGAGUGAGGAUCAAAUUUGGUAGGUAAGAGUGAAUUUUGGAUGAGAAAAUAUUAUAUGAUUUGAAGUGAUAAUAAUAAGUUAGUGAUUAGAAGGUAAAAACCCUAGUAAACGUGAUUUAAGAAAAAACGGCUCGAACCGACGGGUAUCGAUUACUACCGAUUGAACCAACCACUUGACCACCACUUCCUUACCACCACAUACCCUUGAUAUUUUUGCAAAAUAUCCCCCCCUCAUCCUUAGCCAUAUGGCCGAAAAUUGUGGCCAAAAUGCAAGGAAAAAGAAAGCAAAACUUGGAUGGCUUUGGUGGUGACAAGUGUCAACCACCUAUGGUUCCUUGACCAACCUUUUGUCUCACCUUCUUAUCUUCCAUUUGAGUUCAUUUUUCCCCAUUUUCUUCUUGUUUUGGCUGAGAGCAAGGAGAGGCAAGAGAGUGAAGGGAGUUUUCAAUCUUCUACCUUGAAUCUAACCUUUUGAGUGCAACCAAGAAAAACUAAACCGAUCAAUCACUAGUUUGGAAGCUUGGGAAACUAGGGAACCAAAAAUUUCAAGGAGAGGCGAAUGAUUAUCCUAGCAAGCUCUUGUCUUGAGGUAUAAUGGCUGAUCAACCUUUCUUUCUCCAUUAAUCAUGAUUAAGUUGGGUAUUAAUGUUAGUAUUGUGCUUGUGAUGCUUGUUCCAAGUGAUUUUGAUGAUUAGAUGGAUGAUUUUUCAGUUAGGGUUUCUUGUGAGUUAGGUGUUGUAUGAUGUAUAUAUCUGGUAUAUAAUCUUGUAAAGGACAUGGUAGUGGUAGUUUCAAGGUAAAAAUAUGAAUUAUAGCUUGAAUAUAGCAAAAUUCCAGAUUUCUGGAAAUUGUAGCUUCAGUUCUGCCCGAUUCCAUUUUAUCAUGUUAGAAUCCGAAUUAGGCUUAGCACAAAACAUGAAAGUUGUAUAGAAUGAUAUUUUGUGGUUGCCUACAAAAUUUCAGCUCAAUCGGAGCAAUGUAGCCUGUGAAAAGAUGAAAAUACCCUGACUGCCCUAGGAGUCAAAUCAGCGGACAGUUUUGACAGUACACUAAGUUGGUUGCGUUUGUUCACCUAGAUACGUACUGAACUAGCUUUUAGCCAAAACAUGAAAGUUUUAGUACUUUGUCUUAGCUUUUCAACGCCUCUAAAAAUGUCUUAAACGGACUUUGUUAGCUUGAUAUAUGGCCAUUUGAAGGUAGUACGGUUAACUGGUCUAUUAGUAGAAGUUUGGUUCUGUGAAUUGGGAAUUUGACUGGGUUACACUGGAAAUUGGACUAAGUGAUUUUCAUCAAAAUUGUAGCUCUGUGUCUUAGCUUCGAAACGGUAUAAGUUGCACCUCAAUCCGAUAAGCGUAACUUCGGUUGUGUCCGUUACGCAAAAUCACGUCAAAUCUGUCUUUUGCUAGACUUCAUUUCCGCACAUGUCGUUAGCUUGAUUUUUGUACUUGUAUUACCUUGAGCCUAUUGAACGGCUAUUGAAAUGAGUUUGUUUUGUGUGUAACUUUGGGUUUGAUUGAGAAAAAAGAAUGAAGCCAUAAAUGGUCGAAAAAUAGGAAAAUGCAAAGGGCGUGCUGCCCAAAUUUACGCUCAAUGGCUAGGUAGAUACUUGCAACUUGAGUAAGGGUUAAGAGCGAUUACCACUUGAACUAUCUAGGAUAUUGGCGUCUUCUUUUAUCGAGGUAUAUUAGUGAGGAUUUGGCCGAACUUGUACCCUUGAGAAAUAAAAUCAUGACUACUAGGAGUAUGUUUUCCUUGUACUUUCGACUCAAAUGGCAUUUCCAAGUAUAAAUAUUACAAAGUUACAUAGUUUGAAAAGCGAGCGAGUGUUUCACGAAUAUUCUCCAAGUGAAUUUCCAUGUUUUGAUUUUUAUUGAACGAAACGUCUACGUUUUGAACCUUAGUCGAUUUUUAAAGUUCUGAAACAAAGUUUUAUCGCAGAUUUGGACUCCGAACCCGGAGUAUAAUCCAGACGUGAUUACUAAGGGCACUUCAU